rnacentral:rRNA from 1 species
UACGUGAGGGUGCGGGCGUAAUCGGAAUUACUGGGCGUAAAGCGCGCGUAGGCGGUUUUGUAAGUCGGAUGUGAAAGCCCCGGGCUUAACCUGGGAAUUGCAUUCGAUACUGCGUGACUAGAGUAUGGUAGAGGGAAGCGGAAUUCCGGGUGUAGCGGUGAAAUGCGUAGAUAUCCGGAGGAACACCAGUGGCGAAGGCGCUUCCUGGACCGAAUACUGACGCUGAGGCGCGGAAGCGUGGGGAGCAAACAGG